rnacentral:rRNA from 2 species
UACCUAACUAAGAAGCCCCGGCUAACUACGUGCCAGCAGCCGCGGUAAUACGUAGGGGGCAAGCGUUAUCCGGAAUUACUGGGUGUAAAGGGUGAGUAGGCGGUUAAACAAGUCAUAUGUGAAAGCCAGUAGCUUAACUACUGAAUUGCAUAAGAAACUGUAUAACUAGAGUACAGGAGAGGUAAGCGGAAUUCCUAGUGUAGCGGUGAAAUGCGUAGAUAUUAGGAGGAACACCAGUGGCGAAGGCGGCUUACUGGACUGAAACUGACGCUGAAUCACGAAAGCGUGGGGAGCAAACAGGAUUAGAUACCCUAGUAGUCCACGCUGUAAACGAUGAGAGCUAGGUGUCGGGUCGAGAGAUUCGGUGCCGGAGCAAACGCAAUAAGCUCUCCACCUGGGGAGUACGGCCGCAAGGCUGAAGCU